UCCCACGUUAACCCUAAACUUCACAUGGUAAUCAUAGCCCCUAUUCCACCGAGAAAACACAUCUAGCAAACCAACCACCUUCCAUCGAUGGCCUCCUCCUCAUCUGCCCCUGCGCCGGCGAGCCUUGGCCCGCCUGUCUCCGAGAAACUUACUCGGGAUAACUUUUUACUUGGGACAACUUUCUUCUCUAGAAGGCACAGAUCAUGCCUACCAUCCGUGGAGCUCAGCUGAUCGACAUCCUUGAAGGGAAAUCUGUGGAGCCUUCAACCAAGACCCUGAAGAUCACCAAGGAGGACAAGACGGUGGAGGUCGUGCCCAAUCCAGUCUACGUGACAUGGGUGGCACAAGAUCAGCAGCUACUUGGAUACCUUCUGAAUUCGCUGACAAAGGAUGUGCUCGCUCAAGUAGCGACGCUGACAUCCUCAGCAGAAGUUUGGGUGGUCCUUGAAGGGAUGUUCUCUGCCCAGUCUCAUGCACGCGCAACUCAUCUGCGCAUGCAGUUGGCAAGCCUCAAGAAGGGCGGGAUGACCGCCACGGUGCACUUCGCGAAGAUGAAGGCAAUUGGUGACGAGCUUGCCACCGUUGGCAAGGCUGUCGGGGAUGAUGAGAUGAUCUCGUUCAUCCUCAAUGGCUUGGACUCUGACUACAACUCCCUGGUUUCCUCUGUCAUAGGGAGGCUCGACAUGACACUGAGUGAUCUCUACGCUCAGAUUGUGGCCUUUGACAUGCAUCUUCAGAUGCUGGCGGAAAACAACAAUGGUGGAGGCUUCCAAUCCUCCGCCAACUCUGCAUCGUGUGGACGCGGUGGCUUCCAUCCUCGCGAUGGCAACCGUGGCCGUGGCGGCAGUAGUGGUGCUGGAGGUCAUGGCUUCAACAACGGCUUCAACAACAACGCUGGAGGUGCACCCAAGCAAGGAGGACAGUUGACCAAGGUCGCCCGUCAGGUCUGCAAGAAGCCAAAUCAUGAAGCUGAUGAGUGUUGGUACCGCUUUGAGGAAGAUUACCAGCCCAAGGUUGCUGGUUCGGCCACCACCGGCUACGAGGUGGACACAAACUGAUAUGCUAAUAGUGGCGCCUCCGAUCACAUCACCUAGCAGACCGUGUGCGACAAGUACAAUGGACUUGAUCAGGUGCACACCACCAGCGGUUCAGGUAUGAGAAUUAGCAAUGUUGGUCAUUCAUUUUUAUGUACCCCAAAUCGUACUUUGCAUCUAAAUAAUAUUCUCCAUGUUCCAAGUUCUAAGAAAAGCUUGCUUCAGUUCAUCAUUUAACUGCAAAUAAUAAUGCCGAUCUUGAAUUUCAUCCAAACUGUUUUUUUAUUAAGGACCUGGUUGUUGGUCUCAAAGAAAUUUGACACCAACAGAUGUGAAUGGAAAGAGAUUGCACUUAUAAGUUCAAAAAACAAUAAGUCUCUCUCUACAAUAGGGUAGACCUCCCCUUUUAUAGUGACCCGUGAGCUACUUUACAUUCCAAAAAUGUCCUUUCUCAACUACUACUGAGGACCAAUUGUGGUCACCCUUGGAUGAUGAGUGAUUGAUAAUGUUGUGUUGGAAUGAUGUUGCUCUUGGCUUGUGAUGUGCAGGUGUAGGAUGCGGUGUAAUGGCCAACAGCAUGCGAUGAAGGUCAAGCGAAAGGUUCAUGCUGAUGGACCAAGGGUGGUGAAGGAUGACCGCGAGUAGGCUUGGACCGACGGACCCGAAGAGUCCGGACGGAAUCAUAAGCGGUCCACACGGUGCAUGGAAGAGCAAGAGAAAAUAAUGGGAUGGAGACGGCGUCGGUCGAGUCAAGCGGGAUGGAGGUGAGUCAAGUACGCGGCCUGGGAGCCGGGAGCGAAAGACUUGGAGGCGUCAAAAGCUUGGUGGAGACUGGACACGCGUCGACAUCGAGGAGGUCGCGUGGCGGCCAAGCGGAAAUGGACGGUUUGGGUGGUUUGGGCCUCAAAACCAUAGCGCAGGCACGUUUGCUGGUUUGGGCCUCAAAACUGGGAGCGAGCCUGGUGCGGCCGGAGCUUCAAGGACGGUACGUGGCAUCAUCGCGAAGCUUGCAUCGAGGCGAAGCAAAGUCGUGAAGGUGGCGUGUCCAUCCGAUGAGCGCAGAAAAACAUGGACCAAAAUGCCCCUACGUUGGUAAUUAUCCUAGUUGUAGUUGUAGGGGUAGUUUGAUCAUCCGUCCCAGACUAUAAAUAUGGGUGGAUGGCUGUUAAUUUCACCACCUCUUGAGAAAACCCUAAUUCAUUUGCUUAGAGGCUAGCCAAGUGCUUAGAGAGAGAGGAGAGAGUGGGAGAUGAGAGGGUGAUUGCUCUUUUCUUUUGAUUUCUUCAUUUUAGUGGGUGGAUGAAGGGAGGAGGCUAGUCCUCAUCUUGUAAAGAUGUUGACCUCGUGAUUUAGUUGAAUUUGUGUGUCAAAUUCAUGGCUAAA
rnacentral:lncRNA from 1 species